AUGCUUCGCACUGAGCUUCGCGACUGCCUUGCGUGUGCCGACAGUGUUUUGGGGAGGGCGGAGGCCACUCUUUCCAAACUAGAGGCGGUGCCGGAUGUGUCUUCGCUACAUGAGCUUCAGAUUGGGGUUGUACAUGAUGUGUCCUUGCUGCCCGAGAUCCAGGUUGGCUCUGCCGAUGGGGAAGCUAGCAUGUAUGGAGAUCUCUCCCCUCGUGUUACAACAUGUCAGUUGCCGCUGCCUGUCGUGCCGAUUGCUUCCAGAAGUGAAGUCAUUGUUGAGGUCGUGGCUCCGAUGCUGCAGAUUAUGCCUGAGCUUUAG
rnacentral:rRNA from 1 species